GAGCUGAAACUCCCACUGGCUUCCCUGGGAAUCAUCUCUCCCAGCAGGGUUCUGUGUUCUCACAAAUAUUUGCAUCUGCAGCAAGAGUUCUCAGUGGGUUGGCCAGCUUGCUGAGAGGCCUGACUUUGGCAGCCACCCAAACCCAAUCCUCCCAGACCCAGUCCUGCAGAGAAACAUCUCUGGUCUCUGUCACCGAGGAAAGUGGUGGAAGCCACAAGGCCCUUACUGCUGGUGUUUGCGCCAAAAAGGGAAAAUGCUGCCAGAAGGCUGUCCUGUGUGAACAGUGGCAAUGGCCUAAGGAGAAGGUAGCAAAAGAUGAUGUUGACAUAUGCUAGUUUUAAAUGAAUUAAAGAUGAACUCAUAUUUUCUGGUAGAGUGUUUCUGUGGAACAGUGAAAGAAAUUGAAU